rnacentral:lncRNA from 1 species
AUAUCAAACCGUUCCCUUUGUAAUUAAAAUGCAUUAACAUAACGGUCAAAAUAGUCUGUUUUAAUAUGUCAGUGGAAUCUUCAGCUUUAGAAGAAUGUAACAAACUUUGUAUUUAUAAACGAUAUAAAGUAGUAUUUGGUUUUGAAAGAUACUUAGAUUUUCAUUGUAAUGUAUCUAUAUUAACAAAAUUGCGUAGCGGCACACUUAGAUUAAAUGUUGAAGUUGGUCGUUAUCUGAAUACUCAAAGAGAAAAUAGAAUUUGUAUAUGUUGCAAUAUGAAUGUUUUGGAGCACGAAUAUCAUUUUGUUUUAUCAUGUCCAACGUAUAGAUCUGUGCGUAUAGAAUUUUAUAUUUAUUCUACUUUUCUUGGCCAAAUCGGCACAAGUUAUUCUAAAUCUCUGACAGUAAAACUAUGCAUUUAUUCAAAUGCAGCCGCUUGGAAAAUUAGAUCACAUAUAAUGUCAUAAUAUUAUUGUAUACUCUGUAACUUCUGUUCUCUGCUGCCUUUUGUUUGUCAUAUAUUGUAUAUAUUUUCGUUUGCCAUAGCAUGUGAAAAUAAAGUAUGCAUUAUUCUGACUACAGUAAUAACGAUGCCGAUCUGAUAAAUCAAUAAACUGAUAAUGCCCCCAGUUUAUCAAAUCUCGUAUCUAAUUAGUCGAUAACGCAAAAUCACGAUCGA